ensembl:miRNA MIR4698 microRNA 4698
UGCUUCUCCUGGGGUCUUCCUCUACAUUUCCACCUAGACGGGCCUGGGUCAAAAUGUAGAGGAAGACCCCAGAAGGAGCA